rnacentral:rRNA from 1 species
GAUGAACGCUGGCGGCGUGCCUAAUACAUGCAAGUCGAGCGAACAGACGAGGAGCUUGCUCCUCUGACGUUAGCGGCGGACGGGUGAGUAACACGUGGAUAACCUACCUAUAAGACUGGGAUAACUUCGGGAAACCGGAGCUAAUACCGGAUAAUAUAUUGAACCGCAUGGUACAAUAGUGAAAGACGGUUUUGCUGUCACUUAUAGAUGGAUCCGCGCCGCAUUAGCUAGUUGGUAAGGUAACGGCUUACCAAGGCAACGAUGCGUAGCCGACCUGAGAGGGUGAUCGGCCACACUGGAACUGAGACACGGUCCAGACUCCUACGGGAGGCAGCAGUAGGGAAUCUUCCGCAAUGGGCGAAAGCCUGACGGAGCAACGCCGCGUGAGUGAUGAAGGUCUUCGGAUCGUAAAACUCUGUUAUUAGGGAAGAACAAAUGUGUAAGUAACUAUGCACGUCUUGACGGUACCUAAUCAGAAAGCCACGGCUAACUUCGUG